rnacentral:rRNA from 1 species
AUUGAACGCUGGCGGCAGGCUUAACACAUGCAAGUCGAGCGGAGCGAGGGUGCUUGCACCUUAGCUUAGCGGCGGACGGGUGAGUAAUGCUUAGGAAUCUGCCUAUUAGUGGGGGACAACAUUCCGAAAGGAAUGCUAAUACCGCAUACGCCCUACGGGGGAAAGCAGGGGAUCUUCGGACCUUGCGCUAAUAGAUGAGCCUAAGUCGGAUUAGCUAGUUGGUGGGGUAAAGGCCUACCAAGGCGACGAUCUGUAGCGGGUCUGAGAGGAUGACCCGCCACACUGGGACUGAGACACGGCCCAGACUCCUACGGGAGGCAGCAGUGGGGAAUAUUGGACAAUGGGCGGAAGCCUGAUCCAGCCAUGCCGCGUGUGUGAAGAAGGCCUUUUGGUUGUAAAGCACUUUAAGCGAGGAGGAGGCUACUUAGAUUAAUACUCUGGGAUAGUGGACGUUACUCGCAGAAUAAGCACCGGCUAACUCUGUGCCAGCAGCCGCAGUAAAAC